rnacentral:lncRNA from 1 species
GGAGCAUAAGCUCACGUGGAUUACCUGUAGGGUCUCCAUCAGGAAGCCCUAGGUGCCGGCAAGAAGGGUAGUGGAAAGACGUGACCUGCCCUCAAGCAGCUCAGCCUCACGGGGAAAAGAAAUGUGUAAAGAGCUGAACUUAGGGUCAUGGAUGUUGUAUGGACAAGGAGUUUGAAAAACUUGGCUGGAGGGGAGGACUUUGCAUUGUAAUGUCCCAUCUCUUCCUCGUACCCUACCUCUGCUUUCUGAGAUAGAUAAACAAAUGGAUGAUAGAUAAAUAGAUAGAUAGAUAGAUGAUAGAUAGAUAGUAGAUAGAUAUCAGAAGAUAGGUCUGCUAUCUAUCGGUUUUUUUGUGGGACCCCACACAAAAUAGUUGUGGGGAAAAUGUUACCUCUUUAAAUAAUGGGAUGCCUUCAACAAGGCAAAGGUUUUAUUUAUUUUCUCCACCACAGUGCACACACUGGAAGGUUGCCUUUAUUAUAUCCAUUUCUGUAUUCGUACCAGCACCUCGCAAAAUAAUGUGAGUAUGGUAAGGCUCCAUAGAUGUUUGCAAAAUUUAAUUCAAGUAUCCCUGUCUCCAGGGGAGUUCUAAUAAGCUCUUAGCUAUAACACUUUUAAGUAUGGUAAAGACAUGUUUUUGGGUGAGUGACUCUCCAGUAAACUUCAGGUGACAGUGCACACAGAAGCCUUUCCUACAUAAAAGGAAGGUAAAAAGAGCACCACUCAGGUGCCAAGAAAAGCAAUUGAAGGACUAGAUUCUUGUUUACAAUGAAAUUCUCCCUUUAACUAGGAAUCUGGAUGAAAAAGGUAAACCCUAGUUUCAUAAAAGUUAGAAGAAACACAAAAGGAUGCUUAUAGCUAUCAGUGAAUACUGAGGGGGUGAGGGGAGGCAAGUGAAUGGAAUUUUCCCAGCCAAGGCAGGAAAGCUGUGACAUUGUGACAUAGGGAACAAGGUUAAAAGUAGGGCACUGGACUCAGGAAGGCAGGAUCACAAAAAUCUUAGGAUAAUUAGCAGAUCUAUUGGAUUAUGCCAGAGAGAGUGGAAGUGUCUCAGCAGACUCCCUUGGGCAAUACUUCACAGACAUGACUGUGCACGCCAGUCACCCAGAGAUCAUGUUAAAAUGCACAUCUGGUUCAGCAGGCCUAGGUUUCUGUAUGUUAUAGAAGUUCAAAGAAGACAAACUCUAGCCAAGAGCAGUGUGAAGAAAAGAAGACGCUAUAUUAAUCACAGUCCAGGGAUGCCUUCUGGCUUCCUGGCAGCAAUUCCGGCCUGAGAUUCCUUCUCUGUGCAUACUUCCUGUCAACAUUGUGUGAUGUCAAGCUGUGGCCGUCACAAAAGUACUGUGAACACCUGUAAAUCCCAACUAUCAAAAAUCACACCCAGGAAUCCAAAUUAGCAUUAUUAUGUCAAAAGAAAAACCUGAUUUCUUCACUGUCUGAUAACUGCUUUCUUUAUUGUCCUAAACUAGCAUUCCCUAACCUUUGAGUGAGAUAGUGACACUUUAGUUUCUUAUAUUCUAAAAUGUUUUCAGGGGCAGCUGGUGGCAGAGGAGAGGGCAGUGGGGAUAGGGCAGGGAGACAGAUACCUGCACAAGGAAGGUAUGGGGAUGAGGUGGGAGUCAAGAUGAUGAACGGAGAGAGGGAUGGUAACCGAUUUAGUCACCCAUUUGAGAGGGUCUCCAGACUUGCACUGCUGGCUAAAGACUCCUGUCCUAAGUGAGAAAGCAUCAUGUCAGGCAGGGGCUCUAUCCCGGUGGUUAUGGGUGGACAUUCUGGAGUGAUCUAAGGAGGCUUCCCGAGUCUCACUGUUGGCUCUCCCUGACCCCUUCUAAAGCUUUCUUUCUAGCUUCUGCUGCCCUCCAGGUAAGCACUCCACAGCCUGUGGAGCUCUGUGGGUAUAGUCUGUCCUUCCCAUAAUGAUUUGCCUCGCUGCAGUAAUUAACAGAAUGACUUCCAAAAUUAAGGGUUCAAAUCUGGCUGUGACACCUACAAUUAUGUCCCCUCUCUGAUUCCUCACCUGCUAAUCCAUGGGGUUGCUGUGAGCACAUGGGAUGCCUCAUGAUACUGCAAGUGGCCACUGCCAGUUGCCUUGAGAAUUACAAGCAGCUCUUGGUGCCUAAUCUGCUCCAUCUCUUAUUCUUCAUAUUCUAUGUAUGUCUUCCUCUGCCACUUACCAGCUGUUGACCUUGGGCAGGUUACUAAAUUUCCUAUGCUUUCUUUUCCCCAUUUAUGUAAGAAUAGCAAUGAUACCUACCUCAAAGGUACUGUAGAUGCUAUAGAUGGAACAUUGGUUUCCUCCUUAAAAUUUACAUAUUGAAAUCUUAACCCCCAAUGUGAGAGUAUUUGCAGGUGGGACCUUGAGAGGUGAUUAGUUCACUAGGGUGGAGCCCACAUGAAUGGGAUUAAUGCCCUUAUAAAAGAGAUCCUGGAGAGUCUUGUCCCUUCCACCCUGUGAGGACAUGGUGAGAAGUGGCCCCUCACCAGACACCAAUUCUGCCAGCACCUUGAUCUUGGACUUCCC